CCUACGGGAGGCAGCAGUGGGGAAUUUUGGACAAUGGGGGCAACCCUGAUCCAGCCAUGCCGCGUGAGUGAAGAAGGCCUUCGGGUUGUAAAGCUCUUUCGGCCGGGAAGAAAUCGGCGGUCCUAAUACGAUCGCUGGAUGACGGUACCGGACUAAGAAGCACCGGCUAACUACGUGCCAGCAGCCG
rnacentral:rRNA from 1 species